AUGGCCGGGGACGACUGCCAACAUGGCAGUAGAGGGAGAUCGAGGUCCACCAAGCCUACAGCCGUCCUCCCACACCCGUCCACCAUUUCUUGCAUUCGAGCUAUCACUGCCGUCCACCAUUUGCUGCAUCUGAGUCGUCAUCCAACAUUUCCUGCAUCCGAGCCGUCACCGUUGUCCACCAUUUCCUGCAUUCGAGCCGUCACUGUCGUCCACCCUUGCUCCCCCAUGCUUGCGGCCGGCCCCCAUCCGCCGCCCUUGAUGUUGAAUAGCAUAUCCCACAUCGCAGCCAUGGAGGCUGGUUCAACGUCGUCCGUGGGCCUCUUGUCCUUGGCUCCGGCAUGCAAACCGAAGAACGUUGCUAGAGGGCGCGGCGAAGGAGGCAUCAAUAGAGGGAAGCGAUGUCACAGGGAGCGGAUGUGGGCCUCUAGGAGCAGCUGUCCCCCCUCCGCGCGCAGCCCCCCAGACCCCGUCCAUCCAGUUGCCAACAAGGAUCGCGUCGUCCGACCCGGUCGGUUGGUUGUGGCGGCCACUAUGUAUCAAGAAACGGAGAAGAAGCCAUUUGAUUUUAGCCAUUGUUGGGUGAUAUUGAAUGGCAUCCCAAAGUGGACACAACUUGUGGAAGAUCUCAAGGCUAGCAAGAGGAAGAAUGACGGGUCAAGCUCACACCAAUCAAUUGGAUUGGAUGACGACGAACAAGAAGUUGUAGGGGAGAAUGGAAGAGCCACUGUGCCAAAGGAUAACCCGCAAGAUAGGUACAAGCUCAUGUUGUAUGCGCAUAAGGAGAAGAUGGAUUGGGAUCGAGAGAGGGUGAGCAAGAAACUACAAAUUGAGAGGGAGAAGAUCGUGUUGGAGAAGAAAUACGCAGUGAUCAAAUGGGAGCUCGAGAAGGCCCAAACAUUUGGAGAGAUUGAGCUUGAGAAGGAGAUAUUGCAACUUGCUCGAGCAUGGAGGAUGCGAAGAUCGAUGAACAUAGGGAGUACGCCACAGCAAGAGCGGCGAUGGCAGCAGCAAAAGCAGAGGCACGAAUGCAAGCAUAGCAGACGGCAAGGAUGCAUGAAGAGAAGGCGGAGCGGGAGGCAAGGAUGGCUCCGGACCAGGCGGCAAGAAUGGCGUCCGAUGAGUGAUCCGGCCAACAAAUUUGUGGUCGAUGAUGCACAUGCAUACCUAGCUAAACUAGUCUGUUUUAUCCGCAACAAGCCGGCAGCAGCUAGCAUGCACACCGCACUGAUUGAGAAAAUGCUGGAAGGUGCACGCAUAUGCUUCAUCCCCCGAUCUCAUCACACUCACAUCUUCCAUGGGGAUGGAUGGACGGAUUUAAUGCAAUGCCCCCUCUCUCUCGAUCGUAUGUUUACAGGGCGCCACCUGCACGUGUGCCCCCUGACCACCACCACCACCUCGCAUCACUACACAUACACAUCACGCCCACACACGUCACAUCGCUACGAGCCACCGCUGGAUUCUUCAGGCGGCCCAUGCCCUCAGUUACCACCACCUCUGCGUCGCCAUUGCAUCCAUGUCCAUCCGUCCAUGGCUCCAUGCCUGUUAAAUUACCACUGCAUCAUCGCCCUCACCACCCAUCUAUCUUCAUACCCCUUCUUUCCUUCUACUCACCUCAUCACACCCCGUCUUCUGCACCGAGCUGCGGCUGCAGGCUGCACGCUGCCACUGUUCCUUGCAUCAGCCUCGAACUCGGCGCCACCUCUGGUGCUCGAUCAUGCGGUAAAAGUUGAGACCCAAACCCCGGCAGCAGCAUCGCUUCCUGCACGCAGAAUCAUUCGCUGCUGGUGCUGCCUUUCCCGUCCCUCCCUCUCUCUCUCUCUCUCGCUGUUGUUUUUACUGCUAACAUGCAGCGCUCAUCCGGUUAACAAACUUUGCAUGCAUGCAUGCGAUUGCAUGUUUGCAUGCUGCCGAGGCAUGAAGGUGAAGGCAGGGGUGGCACUGUGGCCUGGUCGCGGGCAGCAGGGACCGUGCAUGCAUGUCACAGUGCAUUCUGCUUCCGAUGCGCGCAGCGCAGGAGAAGGAAAUGCUCGGAGACAAUUGAUUUUCGCCCGAGACAUGAAACAAUGUUACAUUCACCAUCUUGAUGACAUAUCUUCCAAGGCCGAGAGGUGUGUCUCUGCUGUGGAGGAGGGGCCUCGUGGGGUGGACAUGGUUGACACAGAUGUUGAUCAACAACUUCCAAAAAUAUACCAGAGCAGGCUUGGUUGGACCGGUGACGUGGUUGGGCUUGCUGCUAGGUUGUGCAGCGCUGUUCCAGCCAGCAAACAAGCAACCAAAAUGGGAAAACAACAUACUAGGAGAAUUGGUGAAGUUGUUCGUGCGGCUGAUACCAUCUGUGUGUCCGUUUCUCUCUCUAACCAAGUCAUCGAUUUGUAUGUAUGA
rnacentral:rRNA from 1 species